CCCUUAGAUGUUCUGGGCUGCACGCGCGCUACACUGACGCAUGCAACAGGUGCCUGCUCCGAGAGGACUGGGUAAUCAUUUGAGUGUGCGUCGUGAUGGGGAUAGAAUAUUGUAAUUAUUACUCUUCAACGAGGAAUUCCUAGUAAGCGCCAGUCAGCAGCUUGCGCUGAUUACGUCCCUGCCCUUUGUACACACCGCCCGUCGCUCCUACCGAUGGGUGAUCCGGUGAAUGAUUCGGACUUCAGCGGCUCCCCUGGGGUGCGCCGGAGAAAGUUUUGUGAACCUUAUCACUUGGAGGAAGGAGAAGUCGUAACA
rnacentral:rRNA from 1 species